GACAGGACGUCCACUUAACUUGGAGUCCGAACUCUCACUUUCUAACCCUGUGCAUUUGUUUGGGAUAGUAACUCUCGCAAGAGAGCGAACUCCUAUUCACUUAUAAACACAAAGUCUAUGAAUGUAUUUAAUUUUAUAACAAAAUAAAACUUUCAACAACGGAUCUCUUGGCUCUCGCAUCGAUGAAGAACGCAGCGAAAUGCGAUAAGUAAUGUGAAUUGCAGAAUUCAGUGAAUCAUCGAAUCUUUGAACGCACCUUGCGCUCCAUGGUAUUCCGUGGAGCAUGCCUGUUUGAGUGUCAUGAAUACUUCAACCCUCCUCUUUCUUAAUGAUUGAAGAGGUGUUUGGAUUCUGAGCGCUGCUGGCCUUACGGUCUAGCUCGUUCGUAAUGCAUUAGCAUCCGCAAUCGAACUUCGGAUUGACUUGGCGUAAUAGACUAUUCGCUGAGGAAUUCUAAUCUUCGGAUUAGAGCCGGGUUAGGUUAAAGGAAGCUUCUAAUCAGAAUGUCUACAUUUUAAGAUUAGAUCUCAAAUCAGGUAGGACUACCCGCUGAACUUAAGCAUAUCAAUAAGCGGAGGAAAAGAAA
rnacentral:rRNA from 1 species